UACGUAGGGUGCGAGCGUUGUCCGGAAUUAUUGGGCGUAAAGAGCUCGUAGGCGGUCUGUCGCGUCGGUCGUGAAAACUUGGGGCUUAACCCUGAGCUUGCGGUCGAUACGGGCAUGACUGGAGUUCGGUAGGGGAGACUGGAAUUCCUGGUGUAGCGGUGAAAUGCGCAGAUAUCAGGAGGAACACCGUGGCGAAGGCGGGUCUCUGGGCCGAUACUGACGCUGAGGAGCGAAAGCGUGGGGAGCGAACAGG
rnacentral:rRNA from 1 species